rnacentral:rRNA from 1 species
UACAGAGGGGGCAAGCGUUGUUCGGAAUUACUGGGCGUAAAGGGCGCGUAGGCGGCCUUCUAAGUCGAACGUGAAAUCCCCGGGCUCAACCCGGGAACUGCGUCCGAUACUGGAAGGCUUGAGUAUGGGAGAGGUAAGCGGAAUUCCUGGUGUAGCGGUGAAAUGCGUAGAUAUCAGGAGGAACACCUGCGGUGUAGACGGCUUACUGGACCAUAACUGACGCUGAGGCACGAAAGCGUGGGUAGCAAACAGG